rnacentral:tRNA from 1 species
AAGAAAGAAGUAGAGUGGUAUACGAAUGGCUUGAAACCAUUUUAUAGAGGUUCGAUUCCUCUCUUUCUCG